GCUUUUGUGGUGUAAUUGUAAGCGCAUCCGGCUGGCAAUCGGGAGGUCUGGAAUUUGACUUUCAGUGAGAGCA
rnacentral:tRNA from 1 species